CAAUAAGCGGAGGAAAAGAAACCAACCGGGAUUGCCUUAGUAACGGCGAGUGAAGCGGCAAAAGCUCAAAUUUGAAAUCUAGUACCUUCGGUGCUCGAGUUGUAAUUUGUAGAGGGAUACUUUGGGGCCGUUCCUUGUCUAUGUUCCUUGGAACAGGACGUCAUAGAGGGUGAGAAUCCCGUGUGGCGAGGAGUGCGGUUCUAUGUAAAGUGCCUUCGAAGAGUCGAGUUGUUUGGGAAUGCAGCUCUAAGUGGGUGGUAAAUUCCAUCUAAAGCUAAAUAUUGGCGAGAGACCGAUAGCGAACAAGUACAGUGAUGGAAAGAUGAAAAGAACUUUGAAAAGAGAGUGAAAAAGUACGUGAAAUUGUUGAAAGGGAAGGGCAUUUGAUCAGACAUGGUGUUUUGCGCCCUCUGCUCCUUGUGGGUGGGGGACUCUCGCAGCUCACUGGGCCAACAUCAGUUUUGGUGGUCGGACAAAUCCGUAGGAAUGUAGCUUACCUCGGUAAGUGUUAUAGCCUGCGGGAAUACGGCCAGCCGGGACUGAGGACUGCGACUUUUGUCAAGGAUGUUGGCAUAAUGGUUAUAUGCCGCCCGUCUU
rnacentral:rRNA from 1 species